GUGCCAGCCGCCGCGGUAAUACCGGCAGCCCGAGUGAUGGCCGAUCUUAUUGGGCCUAAAGCGUCCGUAGCUGGCCGCGCAAGUCCGUCGGGAAAUCCACCUGCCCAACAGGUGGGCGUCCGGCGGAAACUGUGUGGCUUGGGGCCGGAGGACCCGAGGGGUACGUCCGGGGUAGGAGUGAAAUCCUGUAAUCCUGGACGGACCGCCGGUGGCGAAAGCGCCUCGGGAAGACGGACCCGACAGUGAGGGACGAAAGCCAGGGUCUCCAACCGGAUUAGAUACCGAGUAGUCC
rnacentral:rRNA from 1 species